GCUGCGAUGGCCGAGUGGUUAAGGCGUUGGACUCGAAAUCCAAUGGGAUAUUCCCGCGCAGGUUCGAAUCCUUUUCGCAGCG
rfam:Ciona savignyi cont_10664, whole genome shotgun sequence.